GACGAACACUGGCGGCGUGCUUAACACAUGCAAGUCGAACGGAAAGGCCCUGCUUUUGUGGGGUGCUCGAGUGGCGAACGGGUGAGGAAUACAUCGGAAUCUACUUUUUCGUGGGGGAUAACGUAGGGAAACUUACGCUAAUACCGCAUACGACCUACGGGUGAAAGCAGGGGAUCUUCGGACCUUGCGCGAUUGAAUGAGCCGAUGUCGGAUUAGCUAGUUGGCGGGGUAAAGGCCCACCAAGGCGACGAUCCGUAGCUGGUCUGAGAGGAUGAUCAGCCACACUGGAACUGAGACACGGUCCAGACUCCUACGGGAGGCAGCAGUGGGGAAUAUUGGACAAUGGGCGCAAGCCUGAUCCAGCCAUACCGCGUGGGUGAAGAAGGCCUUCGGGUUGUAAAGCCCUUUUGUUGGGAAAGAAAAGCAGCAGGUUAAUACCCCGCUGUUCUGACGGUACCCAAAGAAUAAGCACCGGCUAACUUCGUG
rnacentral:rRNA from 1 species